AAAAAGGCUCUUUUCAGGGCCACCAAUUGAUUUUAAUACUUCAACU
rfam:Acyrthosiphon pisum strain LSR1 Contig21166, whole genome shotgun sequence.